rnacentral:misc_RNA from 1 species
GAUGAAGAACGUAGCGACAUGCGAUAAGUAAUGUGAAUUGCAGAAUUCAGUGAAUCAUCGAAUCUUUGAACGCACAUUGCGCCCGCCAGUAUUCUGGCGGGCAUGCCUGUUCGAGCGUCAUUUCAACCAUCAAGCCCUGCUUGCGUUGGGGUCCUGCGGCUGCCCGCAGGCCCUGAAAACCAGUGGCGGGCUCGCUAGUCACACCGAGCGCAGUAAUACAUCUCGCUUUGGGCGUGCGGCGGGUUCUUGCCGUUAAACACCCCCUUUUUACCAAGGUUGACCUCGGAUCAGGUAGGAAUACCCGCUGAACUUAAGCAUAUCAAUAAGCGGAGGA